UUUUAUUGGAGAGUUUGAUCCUGGCUCAGGACGAACGCUGGCGGCGUGCCUAAUACAUGCAAGUCGAGCGCGGGAAGCAGGCUGAUCCCUUCGGGGUGAAGUCUGUGGAACGAGCGGCGGACGGGUGAGUAACACGUGGGCAACCUGCCUGUAAGUCGGGGAUAACUCCGGGAAACCGGAGCUAAUACCGGAUAACACUUCAGACCGCAUGGUCAGGAGUUGAAAGACGGCUUU
rnacentral:rRNA from 1 species